GGACCCUUCGGGAGGCUUGCACAGGUGCUGCAUGGCUGUCGUCAGCUCGUGUCGUGAGAUGUUCGGUUAAGUCCGCUAACGAGCGCAACCCUCGCUGUGUGUUAUAUGUGUCACACGGGACUGCCGGUCUUAAGCCGGAGGAAGGUGGGGAUGAUGUCAAGUCAGCAUGGCCUUUAUAUCCUGGGCUACACACACGCUACAAUGGCCAACACAAUAGGUUGCUAAGCCGCGAGGUGGCGCCAAUCCAUAAAGUUGGUCUCAGUUCAGAUUGUAGGCUGCAACCCGCCUGCAUGAAGAUGGAGUUGCUAGUAACCGCAGGCCAGCUAUACUGCGGUGAAUACGUUCCCGGGGCUU
rnacentral:rRNA from 1 species